rnacentral:rRNA from 1 species
CCUACGGGAGGCUGCAGUGGGGAAUAUUGGGCACUGGGCGCAAGCCUGACCCAGCAACGCCGCGUGAAGGAAGAAGGCUUUCGGGUUGUAAACUUCUUUUGUCGGGGACGAAGAAAGUGACGGUACCUGACGAAUAAGCCACGGCUAACUACGUGCCAGCAGCCGCGGUCAUACGUAGGUGGCAAGCGUUAUCCGGAUUUAUUGGGUGUAAAGGGCGUGUAGGCGGGAAUGCAAGUCAGAUGGGAAAACUAUGGGCUCAACCCAUAGCCUGCAUUUGAAACUGUAUUUCUUGAGUGCUGUAGAGGCAAGCGGAAUUCCGUGUGUAGCGGUGAAAUGCGUAGAUAUACGGAGGAACACCAGUGGCGAAGGCGGAUUGCUGGACAGUAACUGACGCUGAGGCGCGAAAGCGUGGGGAGCAAACAGGAUUAGAUACCCCAGUAGUC